rnacentral:rRNA from 1 species
AUUGAACGCUGGCGGCAGGCUUAACACAUGCAAGUCGAGCGGGGAAGGGUAGCUUGCUACCUGACCUAGCGGCGGACGGGUGAGUAAUGCUUAGGAAUCUGCCUAUUAGUGGGGGACAACAUUCCGAAAGGAAUGCUAAUACCGCAUACGCCCUACGGGGAAAGCAGGGGAUCUUCGGACCUGGCGCUAAUAGAUGAGCCUAAGUCAGAUUAGCUAGUUGGGUGGGUAAAGGCCUACCAAGGCGACGAUCUGUAGCGGGUCUGAGAGGAUGAUCCGCCACACUGGGACUGGGACACGGCCCAGAGUCCUACUGGGAGCAGCAGUGGGGUAUAUUGGACAAUGGGGGGAACCCUGAUCCAGCCAUGCCGCGUGUGUGAAGAAGGCCUUAUGGUUGUAAAGCACUUUAAGCGAGGAGGAGGCUACUGAGACUAAUACUCUUGGAUAGUGGACGUUACUCGCAGAAUAAGCACCGGCUAACUCUGUGCCAGCAGCCGCCGUAACAC